rfam:Mustela putorius furo unplaced genomic scaffold scaffold00047, whole genome shotgun sequence.
AUCACUUCUCAGCCUUUUGGCUAAGAUCAAGUGUAGUAUCUGUUCUUAUCAGUUUUUUUCCAGGUGUUCAAAAUGGUACCCAUAGUUUUAUAUUUUAGUGUAUAUUGUUACAUUUGGAGCUAAUUAACAGUGUUGUAAAAAUUAGAGUAAUUUUGCCAUUUUGGCUAACUUUGUUCUUUUGUU